GGAGCGUGUUCUGAGAAGUGCACAUAUGUUGAAACAUGUCUAUCACAAAAUCUAGUCCUUAAUCUGCUGGAAAACAGCCUUUUGCAAUGAGAACUUAUUAUUAGACCUCAUGGAGGGUUCUCAGUUUCACACCGGUUUAAUUUUACAUGCUUUGAUGAUGGAAACAUUCUUUUAAUUCUAAGCAUCCCCUCUCUUUUGGGGAGGGAAGGAAGCUUCUGGUGAUACUCUAUGUAUCUUUUAUUGAAUAUAUGGAGGAUGGAGAGCCGUGCCAGGUAACUGUAGCACUUAAACUGCUACUUAAUCAUCCAGCUGUUAAUGGAGUUCAAAUGAAUCGUUAGCUACAAAAGAGGUUUUUCAAUCUCCAGCCCACUCCACGGUCAACUCUCGACACAGGUGCACUUGGCCAUGAGGCACUCGUAAUCUCAGAAGCAGAUCUGGCUGCCAAGUUCAAGUUGCCAUGACUCUGAACAUAGAAUAUCAUUCCACUCCCAGCCAGAGCCUGUAACUCUUGUGGCUGUUCCUAUGAGGGCCCUACUUGGUACUGCUCUGGCUCACACCCAUUGGCUACAGUGAUGCAGCAGGUGAAGGACUUAAGUGUCACUAAGUUGGUUUCCAGUUGCUUCCAGGAAAAAAAAAAAUCCAUGGCAUAUACGAUUCUUGCAUCUGACACCUGGCAAAUAUCCCCUCUGUUCACAGGCUGCAGAGAGGAGAUCUGAGCAUUGCUGUCACAGCCUUAAGUGCUAUUCUUAAGGGGCCCUGAGACACAGAAACCUAGGGACACGAGCGUUUUGGAGAUAAGAUCGACCUCAGGAGGGCAUUCCAACUUCAGGUUACUCACAAAGUAUCUGCAGAAGAGGAAGCCUGGAAAUGCCACCCCCAGCAUGGAGGAGGGGAGGCACUCAGGUCUGAAUUUGUUUCCAAACCACCGCUCUGUCCUUGAAGCGAGGCUGUCUCAAAAACUGGAGAGAGAAAUUCCAGAGAGAGACGGUGCGAAAGCUUUCUCAUGGUGUGAACACGCCUGCCUGCGAGGAGAAUGCCUCUUCCUGAGGGAUGAAACCAGGAGUCGAGAGAGUUUAUUCGUGGAGCCCUAGUGAAGAUUUCCACUAAGAAGGAACUUGUAAUUUUAUGCUAGUCCCUAGAGAGGAAGAUUUAGUACAUAGUUGAAUUUUCAAGCAAAUUAUCUUCCAGAAUAAAGAAUGAACGAUACCAA